rnacentral:rRNA from 1 species
AAACCAACAGGGAUUGCCUUAGUAGCGGCGAGUGAAGCGGCAAAAGCUCAAAUUUGAAAUCUGGCACCUUCGGUGUCCGAGUUGUAAUUUGAAGAUUGUAACCUUGGGGUUGGCUCUUGUCUAUGUUUCUUGGAACAGGACGUCACAGAGGGUGAGAAUCCCGUGCGAUGAGAUGCCCAAUCCUAUGUAAGGUGCUUUCGAAGAGUCGAGUUGUUUGGGAAUGCAGCUCUAAGUGGGUGGUAAAUUCCAUCUAAAGCUAAAUAUUGGCGAGAGACCGAUAGCGAACAAGUACAGUGAUGGAAAGAUGAAAAGAACUUUGAAAAGAGAGUGAAAAAGUACGUGAAAUUGUUGAAAGGGAAGGGUUUGAGAUCAGACUCGAUAUUUUGUGAGCCUUGCCUUCGUGGCGGGGUGACCCGCAGCUUAUCGGGCCAGCAUCGGUUUGGGCGGUAGGAUAAUGGCGUAGGAAUGUGACUUUGCUUCGGUGAAGUGUUAUAGCCUGCGUUGAUGCUGCCUGCCUAGACCGAGGACU